CGGAGGGUCAUUACCGAGUUUACAACUCCCAAACCCCUGUGAACAUACCACUUGUUGCCUCGGCGGAUCAGCCCGCUCCCGGUAAAACGGGACGGCCCGCCAGAGGACCCCUAAACUCUGUUUCUAUAUGUAACUUCUGAGUAAAACCAUAAAUAAAUCAAAACUUUCAACAACGGAUCUCUUGGUUCUGGCAUCGAUGAAGAACGCAGCAAAAUGCGAUAAGUAAUGUGAAUUGCAGAAUUCAGUGAAUCAUCGAAUCUUUGAACGCACAUUGCGCCCGCCAGUAUUCUGGCGGGCAUGCCUGUUCGAGCGUCAUUUCAACCCUCAAGCACAGCUUGGUGUUGGGACUCGCGUUAAUUCGCGUUCCCCAAAUUGAUUGGCGGUCACGUCGAGCUUCCAUAGCGUAGUAGUAAAACCCUCGUUACUGGUAAUCGUCGCGGCCACGCCGUUAAACCCCAACUUCUGAAUGUUGACCUCGGAUCAGGUAGGAAUACCCGCUGAACUUAAGCAUAUCAAUAAGCGGAGGAAAAGAAACCAACAGGGAUUGCCCUAGUAACGGCGAGUGAAGCGGCAACAGCUCAAAUUUGAAAUCUGGCUCUCGGGCCCGAGUUGUAAUUUGUAGAGGAUACUUUUGAUGCGGUGCCUUCCGAGUUCCCUGGAACGGGACGCCAUAGAGGGUGAGAGCCCCGUCUGGUUGGAUGCCAAAUCUCUGUAAAGUUCCUUCAACGAGUCGAGUAGUUUGGGAAUGCUGCUCUAAAUGGGAGGUAUAUGUCUUCUAAAGCUAA
rnacentral:rRNA from 1 species